GAUCAUGGCUCAGGACGAACGCCGGCGGCGCGCCUAACACAUGCAAGUCGAACGGUGAAGAGGAGCUUGCUCCUCGGAACAGUGGCGGACGGGUGAGUAACACGUGAGCAACCUGGCUCUAAGAGGGGGACAACAGUUGGAAACGACUGCUAAUACCGCAUAACGUAUCGGGAUGGCAUCUUCCUGAUACCAAAGAUUUUAUCGCUUAGAGAUGGGCUCGCGUCUGAUUAGAUAGUUGGG
rnacentral:rRNA from 1 species